UUCAUAUGCAUGCCUCAGGCUUGCUUCCUCAGUUAAGUCUGGCCAGUUCAGUGUGCUUUGAUCUUCGUCCUCAAAAUUGGUUGUUGGAAGGCGGUGUCGGCAGAAUCUGAAGCACGCGCAUGCGAUACGACACAUGUUAAGGAUUUGUCUCAUCGGUUGUGUCAUAAUGUGACUCUGGAUUUCGAUGUUGGGUGGUGAUGUGCAGAAAUACACAGGGACUCGUUAUUAGCCACCCUCUUCAUGACGUUUGUUGGUCUUCUGUAGGUAUAUAAGUUGGUGGCUUUAGGUUUUGGUUGUUUUAUUCAUCUUGUCAAACUUGUCUGAAUAAAAAAAAAUGGUUGUGUGCAUUAUUUUGAUGCAGAUGUCGGAGACGGGACUCUCCUAGAGAAAAAAAAAGCAUGGCCAUGUGUUGUCUCCGGUUCAAGGGGACAUGCGGCAUCGCUGCUCUGCCUAAGAGAUGAAGUUUUUCGUAGAGGAUGAAAGCAGGGCUAGGGUUUGGUUGUCAGACGUAAUUGGAGAAAGCACAUGACAUGGACGGCCUGAUUAAUUAGUCUGCUCUUGAAGACUUGAACUGUCACGUCUGGCCCCUACAACUUAAUUAAAGUCAUUUACAACCUCCAUGUGCGCAAAAAAUAUUGCACAUUGGUCAAUCUAAGAGAAAAGCAAAUUUUUUUUCGCUCAACUUUUCGGAAAGUUCGCUUUUUGUCCCUCAAAUUUUUUUUUGCAUUUUUUCCCUCAGUUUUCAAAACCGGACACUUUUAGUCUCUCGGUCCAUCUAAAGUGGUUUUCCUAGCCACGUGUCUGGUUUUCGCAUAGUUUUUUCACUUAUUUUUUUUUAUCAAGAUAUGGAUGAUGCAGAUGGAGGAGAAGUACAACGAGUGCCUGGAUGAGAUCCAGAGCACGACGACAGCCAAUUUCAACAGCCUCAGCGGUCACGGGAUUAAGUGCAAACCGGACAUGUGGCUAGACAAACCGCUUUGGAUAGCCUUAAGGAUUAAAAGUGUCCGGUUUUGAAAGUUGAGGGAUGAAAAAAGUAUGAAUUGUUUUUGAAGGACGAGAAAUGAACUUUUCGACAAGCCGAGGGACGGAAAAAAUACUUUUCUCUAUAGGUAA
rnacentral:lncRNA from 1 species